UACAUGGGGUGCAAACGUUGCUCGGAAUCAUUGGGCGUAAAGCGCGCGUAGGCGGUUACUUAAGUUGGAUGUGAAAGCCCUCGGCUUAACUGAGGAAGUGCAUCCAAAACUGAGUAGCUAGAGUACGAAAGAGGGUCGCGGAAUUCCCGGUGUAGAGGUGAAAUUCGUAGAUAUCGGGAGGAACACCGGUGGCGAAGGCGGCGACCUGGGUCGAGACUGACGCUGAGGCGCGAAAGCGUGGGGAGCAAACAGG
rnacentral:rRNA from 1 species